UACGUAGGGGGCAAGCGUUGUCCGGAUUUAUUGGGCGUAAAGAGCGUGUAGGCGGUUUGGUAGGUCCGCUGUGAAAGCUUGGGGCUCAACCCCGAGUCGGCCGUCGAUACUUCCGGGCUGGAGCACUGUAGAGGCAGGUGGAAUUCCGGGUGUAGCGGUGGAAUGCGUAGAGAUCCGGAAGAACACCGGUGGCGAAGGCGGCCUGCUGGGCAGUAGCUGACGCUGAGGCGCGACAGCGUGGGGAGCAAACAGG
rnacentral:rRNA from 1 species